GACGAACGCUGGCGGCGUGCCUAAUACAUGCAAGUUGAGCGCUGAAGGUUGGUACUUGUACCAACUGGAUGAGCAGCGAACGGGUGAGUAACGCGUGGGGAAUCUGCCUUUGAGCGGGGGACAACAUUUGGAAACGAAUGCUAAUACCGCAUAAAAACUUUAAACACAAGUUUUAAGUUUGAAAGAUGCAAUUGCAUCACUCAAAGAUGAUCCCGGGUUGUAUUAGCUAGUUGGUGAGGUAAAGGCUCACCAAGGCGAUGAUACAUAGCCGACCUGGGAGGGUGGACGGCCACAUUGGGACUGGGACACGGCCCAAACUCCUACGGGAGGCAGCAGUAGGGAAUCUGCCGCAAUGGACGAAAGUCUGACAGAGCAACGCCGCGUGAGUGAAGAAGGUUUUCGGAUCUUAAGGCUCUGUUGUUUGAGACGAAUGUGCCCGUUUGGAAUAGGGAUGGGUAAUGACGGUAUUAAACGAGAAAGCCGCGGCUAACUACGUGCCAGCAGCCGCCGUAA
rnacentral:rRNA from 1 species